GACGUAGGGGGCCAGCGUUGUUCGGAAUUACUGGGUGUAAAGGGUUCGUAGGCGGUGCGGCAAGUUGGGAGUGAAAUCUCUGGGCUUAACCCAGAGGCUGCUUCCAAAACUGCUGUGCUUGAGUGUGGGAGAGGCGCGUGGAAUUGCAGGUGUAGCGGUGAAAUGCGUAGAUAUCUGCAGGAACACCGAUUGCGAAGGCAGCUCGCUGGGACGUCACUGACGCUGAGACGCGAAAGCGUGGGGAGCAAACAGG
rnacentral:rRNA from 1 species